rnacentral:rRNA from 1 species
CCUUCGGGAGGCAGCAGUGGGGAAUAUUGCACAAUGGGCGCAAGCCUGAUGCAGCGACGCCGCGUGAGCGAUGAAGGCCUUCGGGUCGUAAAGCUCUGUCCUAAGGGAAGAAUAAUGACGGUACCUUAGGAGGAAGCCCCGGCUAACUACGUGCCAGCAGCCGCGGUAAUACGUAGGGGGCGAGCGUUAUCCGGAAUUACUGGGCGUAAAGGGUGCGUAGGCGGCCCUUCAAGUCAGAGGUGAAAGGCUACGGCUCAACUGUAGUAAGCCUUUGAAACUGUAGGGCUUGAGUGCAGGAGAGGAGAGGGGAAUUCCCAGGGUAGCGGUGAAAUGCGUAGAUAUUGGGAGGAACACCAGUUGCGAAGGCGGCUCUCUGGACUGUAACUGACGCUGGGGCACGAAAGCGUGGGGAGCGAACAGGAUUAGAUACCCUAGUAGUC